ensembl:lncRNA
ACGGGAGGUGGAGGAGGUAGGAUCAGGUGGCCCUUUUGCGCCUCCUAACUCCCCCCUCCAGAGAUCCCUCCCCCGACUUAGGAAACCCCUUCCCCUAUUCAGCCCUUAUCCUCCUGCUCCUCUUCCUCAGCAUCCUCCUCCUCCUCCUCCUUCUUCUCCUCAUCCUCCACAUCAUCCCAUGCCAAGCCUUGCUCUUCCUCAUGCUCCUCAUCCUCAGGAAUCUGUGGUGCAGCAUCAGGGCCUGCAGAGCUUCGGGAGCCUUCCUGAAGCCAACGCUGCGACACCAUCGGACCCCGCGCGGAUGAAUCCAGGAAAAAGCAAAGAAUACAUCACAAAAGAAGAGGAGCUGUACGCCCAGUACUUCACUUUCUGACUCGCUAAAUCCCAACUGUGUCAAAAAAAGGAAGUAAUGGGACAGAGAGCUAAAGUUGGACAACGAUCAAACUGCAGGUUUUCACAGUCAUUUGGGCGACAUGAAUAUGAGAUGUCCUCUCCUCAUUGCAGCACUCCCAUCUGUCGUGUGCAUCGCUGAGUGAAUUUAACCUUAGGGCUUCCAUACGUGGCGAGCACGAUGAGCAGUGUGGCUUAUCAGUGCUUCAUCAUGAAAGUAUGCAUGGCAGAAAGAGGUGACAUAAAACAUUAGUAUACAGCGAUUUGUCUUUUACAUUUAUGCCAUCUGUUAUUCUGCAAAAGAGGCCAUUUGUAUGAGCUCUCAUGCUACCCAAUGUAAAGUGUACGAGAAAAUUACAAGUUAGAAAGAAUUAAUGUCCUCUGAAUUUAAAUGUAAUAAUUUAUUUUACACUGAAGUUCAAAUGCGUGGCAUGCUCUACAGAGAUUUCCCAAAGGGAGUUGCAUGUUUAUUGAUGACGAAGCUGGUGCUAAUGAUUUCAUCUCAUUUUUUUAAGAUUUACCGGUUGCCAAGCGAUGUCAAAAUGUAUCCUUUUGCAUUUAAAAUCUACAAAUCAAUAUGAAGACUCUGAUUAAUAAUGAGAGUAACUCUACACGGUGCUUUUUGAACACCGUUCUUAGGGCUGCAGUUAAUUAAAUUUUAAUCUUGAUCACAAUUUUGGCUCCUAACAGCUAAAAUGUAUCAUCUGCCAAAAGCACACAAAGCAAAUCAAGCGCUCACUGAAUCACUGCCUGCAUGUGCCAAUCACAGCUUCCUGGAUUUUUCCUGGAUGUAACCUGGACGAGUAACAACAAAACAUGAACUACACAGACCAGACAUCAAUAUAAAAUUCAAACGUGCGGCAUGCUUUAAGCGGAUCAUCAUUAUCAUUAUUUGGAAACACUUCAGAUUUUUGGUUUUAAUUGCUACAAAGCGACACAGCUAACUAACACUGGUGUACAGAAUGCAGUAGUUGCUGGCGGGAAUGAUCCAGCAGUUUGUCAUAACCCUACAGAUGAAUCAUUAAAUCAUUAAAUCCUUAAUGCAAAUUCAGAGCACAUUUUAAUGACCACUAAAUCACUUUGACUUUUACUUUCAACAGUAGUUAAUAUAUUAAAACACACCUUUCACUUUUUUGGAGACAUCAAAAUAAAACAGAUGUGACAGUCAGCACAAAAAGUUUCAGACAUUUUUCAUGGUGCAUGUUUGAGGUUUAUUUUUUCAUUUCCAAAUACAUAAUUUGUUUAUGACAAUUCAGUGGGCUACAUACUGGACUUAGGCUACGUUCACACUGCAGGCGAAAGAGCAUCAAAUCCGAUUUUUUUGACCCCAUGCGACCCAUAUCCGAUCAUGGUAUGACAGUGUGAACGGCACAAAUCCGAUAUUUUCAAAUCCGAUCUGGGUCACUUUCGUAUGUGGUACUGAAUCCGAUACAUAUCCGAUGUUUUAGAAAGCUGUUGUUUGAACGGUCAUGUCGCAUUAAAUCCGUCUUUUACGUCACUGACACAAGACAGACGCCA